AGUGAACGCUGGCGGUAGGCCUAACACAUGCCAGUCGAACGGCAGCACAGUAAGAGCUUGCUCUUACGGGUGGCGAGUGGCGGACGGGUGAGGAAUACAUCGUACUCUACUUUUUCGUGGGGGUUCACGUAGGUAAACUUACUCUAAUACCGCAUACGACCUACGGUUGAAAGCAGUGGAUCUUCUGACCUUGCGCGAUUGAAUGAGCCGAUGUGGGAUUAGCUAGUUGGCGGGGUAAAUGCCCACCAAGGCGACGAUCCGUAGCUGGUCUGAGAGGAUGAUCAGCGACACUGGAAGUGGGACAGGGACAAGACUACUGCGGGAGGCAGCAGUGGGGAAUAUUGGACAAUGGGCGGAAGCCUGAUCCAGCCAGAGCGCGUGGGUGAAGAAGGCCUUCGGGUUGUAAAGACCUUUUGUUGGGAAAGAAAAGCAGCAGGUUAAUACCCAGCUGUUGUGACGGUACCCAAAGAAUAAGCACCGGCUAACUACGUG
rnacentral:rRNA from 1 species